CACGUAGGCGGGUUGCUUAGUCGGUGGUGAAAGCCCUCAGCUCAACUGAGGAACUGCUGCCGAAACUGGCAACCUUGAGGACAAGAGGGGAGAGUGGAACUUCUGGUGGAGCGGUGAAAUGCGUAGAUAUCAGAAGGAACACCGGUGGCGAAAGCGACUCUCUGGCUUGUCCCUGACGCUGAGGUGCGAAAGCGUGGGUAGCAAACA
rnacentral:rRNA from 1 species